rnacentral:rRNA from 1 species
GACGAACGCUGGCGGCGUGCCUAAUACAUGCAAGUUGAGCGCUGAAGGUUGGUACUUGUACCGACUGGAUGAGCAGCGAACGGGUGAGUAACGCGUGGGGAAUCUGCCUUUGAGCGGGGGACAACAUUUGGAAACGAAUGCUGAUACCGCAUAAAAACUUUAAACACAAGUUUUAAGUUUGAAAGAUGCAAUUGCAUCACUCAAAGAUGAUCCCGCGUUGUAUUAGCUAGUUGGUGAGGUAAAGGCUCACCAAGGCGAUGAUACAUAGCCGACCUGAGAGGGUGAUCGGCCACAUUGGGACUGAGACACGGCCCAAACUCCUACGGGAGGAAGCAGUAGGGAAUCUUCGGCAAUGGACGAAAGUCUGACCGAGCAACGCCGCGUGAGUGAAGAAGGUUUUCGGAUCGUAAAACUCUGUUGGUAGAGAAGAACGUUGGUGAGAGUGGAAAGCUCAUCAAGUGACGGUAACUACCCAGAAAGGGACGGCUAACUACGUG